UCGGGAAUUUUGGGCAAUGGGCGAAAGCCUGACCCAGCAACGCCGCGUGAGGGAUGAAGUAUUUCGGUAUGUAAACCUCGAAAGAAUGGGAAGAAUAAAUGACGGUACCAUUUAUAAGCUCCGGCUAACUACGUGCCAGCAGCCGCGGUAAUACGUAGGGAGCAAGCGUUGUUCGGAUUUACUGGGCGUAAAGGGCGCGUAGGCGGCGCGGUAAGUCACUUGUGAAAUCUCUGAGCUUAACUCAGAACGGCCAAGUGAUACUGCUGUGCUAGAGUGCGGAAGAGGCAACCGGAAUUCUUGGUGUAGCGGUGAAAUGCGUAGAUAUCAAGAGGAACACCUGAGGCGAAGGAGGGUUGCUAGGCUGACACUGACGCUGAGGCGCGAAAGCCAGGGGAGCAAAC
rnacentral:rRNA from 1 species